ACUCCUACGGGAGGCAGCAGUGGGGAAUAUUGCACAAUGGGCGCAAGCCUGAUGCAGCCAUGCCGCGUGUAUGAAGAAGGCCUUCGGGUUGUAAAGUACUUUCAGCGGGGAGGAAGGGAGUAAAGUUAAUACCUUUGCUCAUUGACGUUACCCGCAGAAGGAGCACCGGCUAACUCCGUGCCAGCAGCCGCGGUAAUACA
rnacentral:rRNA from 1 species